rnacentral:rRNA from 1 species
UACGUAGGGUGCAAGCGUUAAUCGGAAUUACUGGGCGUAAAGCGCGCGCAGGCGGUCCAUUCAGUCGCUGGUGAAAGCCCCACGCUCAACGUGGGAAGGUCCGGCGAGACGGGUGGACUGGAGGCAGGGAGAGGUCGGUGGAAUUCCGGGUGUAGUGGUGAAAUGCGUAGAGAUCCGGAGGAACACCAGAGGCGAAGGCGGCCGACUGGACCUGACCUGACGCUGAGGCGCGAAGGCGUGGGGAGCGAACGGG